UAAAAAAACCUCCCAAAACUCCCUCAUCUCCCCUCACUGUUCCGCCGCCUGCCCGCCCGCUGGAAAUCACCCACGGCGGCGGAGCACCACCAAAUGACCCAAAAGAUUCACCCUAUAAUCUCCACCCCGCUCUCAUUCCAAAUCCACCAUCAAUCUUCUCGAAAUUCCCAUCGAAUUCAAAGAAUAGUAGAUUCAAAAUUUCAGAAAAUCAAAGUUUUCCCUCUCCUUUCGUUGUUCGAUCAUUCAGGCUAGUUCACUGUGAAAACUUGCAUCGAUGGAAAGCUAUUGAUAAGAGCUAUCUACUGAUGCAAGAAUUGGUCCGUUUCUUGGUGGUCGAAGCCUGGUAAGCCGGACAUUGACCGGCCAAUUCCUCCUGGAAAUUCUCUAUGUUGCCUCAUCACCAUUUAGUUAGGACUAGGAUCGAUUCCGGGAUCACGACUUUGAUAUUCUUGAAGGCAGGCGUUCUGACCCCGGGUUCUAGCCCGAUAGGACUUGGAGUCGAUCUUCAUUCCUUUAUUGCCAUGUUCCGGGCGUGACCUACCAUGAUGUAGGCGAGCUCCAUUUCAACUGUAUGCAAAUAGUCCCCUCCUUUAUUGGAGAGUAGACGACGAAAAACGAUAUGAGCUUCUGAUUUUUACUUCGAUACCUCGCGAUAGAAACGACAAAAUAAAAGAAACGUCUCGUCAAUCAAGACUUAAUGGCAUUAAGUGCUUGUCAUUUGUUGGUCGGCUGCUCCUGGAUGCAAAAUGUCAUCGAAAACUAUAAAUACCUAUUCGUUGGUUCAUUUUAACUUUA